GACGAACGCUGGCGGCGUGCCUAAUACAUGCAAGUAGAACGCUGAAGGAGGAGCUUGCUUCUCUGGAUGAGUUGCGAACGGGUGAGUAACGCGUAGGUAACCUGCCUGGUAGCGGGGGAUAACUAUUGGAAACGAUAGCUAAUACCGCAUAACAGUAGAUGUUGCAUGACAUUUGCUUAAAAGGUGCAAUUGCAUCACUACCAGAUGGACCUGCGUUGUAUUAGCUAGUUGGUGGGGUAACGGCUCACCAAGGCGACGAUACAUAGCCGACCUGAGAGGGUGAUCGGCCACACUGGGACUGAGACACGGCCCAGACUCCUACGGGAGGCAGCAGUAGGGAAUCUUCGGCAAUGGACGGAAGUCUGACCGAGCAACGCCGCGUGAGUGAAGAAGGUUUUCGGAUCGUAAAGCUCUGUUGUAAGAGAAGAACGGGUGUGAGAGUGGAAAGUUCACACUGUGACGGUAUCUUACCAGAAAGGGACGGCUAACUACGUGCCAGCAGCCGCGGUAAUACGUAGGUCCCGAGCGUUGUCCGGAUUUAUUGGGCGUAAAGCGAGCGCAGGCGGUUAGAUAAGUCUGAAGUUAAAGGCUGUGGCUUAACCAUAGUACGCUUUGGAAACUGUUUAACUUGAGUGCAAGAGGGGAGAGUGGAAUUCCAUGUGUAGCGGUGAAAUGCGUAGAUAUAUGGGGGAACACCGGUGGCGAAAGCGGCUCUCUGGCUUGUAACUGACGCUGAGGCUCGAAAGCGUGGGGGAGCAAACAGG
rnacentral:rRNA from 1 species